rnacentral:rRNA from 1 species
GACGAACGCUGGCGGCGUGCCUAAUACAUGCAAGUCGAACGCUUCUUUCCUCCCGAGUGCUUGCACUCAAUUGGAAAUAGGAGUGGCGGACGGGUUAGUAACACGUGGGUAACCUACCCAUCAGAGGGGGAUAACACUUGGAAACAGUUGCUAAUACCGCAUAACAGUUUAUGCCGCAUGGCAUAAGAGUGCACGGCGCUUUCUGGUGUCGCUGCUGGAUGGACCCGCGGUGCAUUAGCUAGUUGGUGAGGUAACGGCUCACCAAGGCCACGAUGCAUAGCCGACCUGAGAGGGGGAUCGGCCACACUGGGACUGAGACACGGCCCAGACUCCUACGGGAGGCAGCAGUAGGGAAUCUUCGGCAAUGGACGAAAGUCUGACCGAGCAACGCCGCGUGAGUGAAGAAGGUUUUCGGAUCGUAAAACUCUGUUGUUAGAGAAGAACAAGGACGUUAGUAACUGAACGUCCCCUGACGGUAUCUAACCAGAAAGCCACGGCUAACUACGUG